AAAUGACCUGGAAUCUAUAGUAUCUUACAAAAAUAUUUUAAAAGUGAAUGAAUUGCAUGUCACAUUAUCUCCUAAGGUGUGGCUGUUACCCACCACUGGCCUCUGGCAGCUUCUGCAGCAGAACGGGACUUAGGAGAACAGGAUUCCAGGAGGGCUUUCACUUGGACCUUGUCUCGCUCUCUUGCUCCUGAGCGCGGAACGCCUUCAGAAACUGGGGGAUUCUUCUAUCACAUGGCUUCCAUGCUGGCUCAGACUAUAAAGAACACACCUGCAAUGUGGGAGACCUGUUUCAGUUCCUGGAUUGGGAAGGUCCCUGGAUAAGGGAAUGGAUAUACGCUCCAGUAUUCUGGCCAGGAGAAUUUCAUGGACUGUGCAGUCCAUGGUGUUGCAAAGAGUAGGACACGGCUGAGCAACUUUCACUUCACUUCCAUCACAUGCCACUGUACCCUUAUUAAUUACUAAUUUCAUUAGUAUCUGGUUUAUUGUUUUUGCAAUGAAGAUAGGUAGACAUAAAACCUCUCACACAAAAUCUGGAAUGUUUUCCAAGUUCCCAAUAUUUUGUAGUUAUUUUCACAACAUAGCUUUCUGUAUAAGCAUUUUCAUAAUAUUAGAAGUGUAUUUCUAAAGUAAAUUUUCUGAAUUAGAAUUGCUGUGUGAACUGCAAAACAUAAGGCUUUUAGAUGCACUGAAGUCAUCUCUCUAGAGACUGGGUGUUUUUUGUCUCCUUCCAGGAACCCAUGUGAGUGCCGUUUCCCAAUAGCUUCAUUAAGAAUAUACACAGCUUUCAUGUUGACAAUUUAAUGCAUUAGGAAACUUUCUUGCUGCACGUUUUUUAUGGAAAUUUUCUAAUCAGAUUUUUUAUAGAAAAGUUCAUGGUAAAUUCUGUAAGUAAUAAUGCUGUAUAGCAUGGAAAAAUCUGCAUUUAAAAAAUACAAAAACUCAGUGAAAUAAUAGCAAAAAAAUCCCUAAGGAGGCAUGCUCUUAAAUCUAGUAGGAGUAAUGUUGCAAAAUAAAUAACAGGAAAUAUAAAUAUUGAACUUUGGG
ensembl:lncRNA